AAUCCGUGUUGUGGGCAAUGGCGAAGUAAACCCUUGUAUCAUUCCUAUGCCUCUGAAUAGCAUUCUGAGUCCAUUUGCUGAAAAAGUGGUGAUCUCGUCCCUUAGCUU
rnacentral:snoRNA from 1 species